rnacentral:rRNA from 1 species
AUAUUGGGCAAUGGGCGAAAGCCUGACCCAGCCACGCCGCGUGAGUGAUGAAGGCCUUCGGGUUGUAAAGCUCUGUGGGGAGGGACGAAAACCCGUGGUUCGAAUAGGGCCAUGGCUUGACGGUACCUCCUUAGCAAGCACCGGCUAACUCUGUGCCAGCAGCCGCGGUAAGACAGAGGGUGCGAACGUUGCUCGGAAUUACUGGGCGUAAAGCGCGUGUAGGCGGACCAUUAAGUCAGGUGUGAAAUCCCUGGGCUCAACCCAGGAACUGCACUUGAAACUGGCGGUCUUGAGUGAUGGAGAGGGAUGCGGAAUUCCCGGUGUAGAGGUGAAAUUCGUAGAUAUCGGGAGGAACACCAGUGGCGAAGGCGGCAUCCUGGACAUUGACUGACGCUGAGACGCGAAAGCGUGGGGAGCAAACAGG